AGUGAACGCUGGCGGUAGGCCUAACACAUGCAAGUCGAACGGCAGCACAGUAAGAGCUUGCUCUUACGGGUGGCGAGUGGCGGACGGGUGAGGAAUACAUCUGAAUCUACUUUUUCGUGGGGGAUAACGUAGGGAAACUUACGCUAAUACCGCAUACGACCUACGGGUGAAAGCAGGGGAUCUUCGGACCUUGCGCGAUUGAAUGAGCCGAUGUCGGAUUAGCUAGUUGGCGGGGUAAAGGCCCACCAAGGCGACGAUCCGUAGCUGGUCUGAGAGGAUGAACAGCCACACUGGAACUGAGCCACGGUCCAGACUCCUACGGGAGGCAGCAGUGGGGAAUAUUGGACAAUGGGCGCAAGCCUGAUCCAGCCAUACCGCGUGGGUGAAGAAGGCCUUCGGGUUGUAAAGCCCUUUUGUUGGGAAAGAAAAGCAGCAGGUUAAUACCCCGCUGUUCUGACGGUACCCAAAGAAUAAGCACCGGCUAACUUCGUG
rnacentral:rRNA from 1 species